ACGCACGCUGGCGGCGUGCUUAACACCUGCAAGUCGAACGGAAAGGCCCUGCUUGCAGGGUCCUCGAGUGGCGAACGGGUGAGUAACACGUGGGUGAUCUGCCCUGCACUUCGGGAUAAGCCUGGGAAACUGGGUCUAAUACCGGAUGUGACCUUCCAUGUAGUGUGGGGGGUGGAAAGAUUUAUCGGUGUGGGAUGAGCCCGCGGCCUAUCAGCUUGUUGGUGGGGUAAUGGCCUACCAAGGCGUCGACGGGUAGCCGGCCUGAGAGGGUGGACGGCCACAUUGGGACUGAGAUACGGCCCAGACUCCUACGGGAGGCAGCAGUGGGGAAUAUUGCACAAUGGGCGGAAGCCUUAUGCAGCGACGCCGCGUGGGGGAUGACGGCCUUCGGGUUGUAAACCUCUUUCGACAGGGACGAAGCUUCGGUGACGGUACCUGUAUAAGAAGCACCGGCUAACUACGUG
rnacentral:rRNA from 1 species